CCCCCUCCUGUACGGCCGCUACUCUGCGCCCAUCUUCGUUCUCACAACCUGGUUCUGCCCACACCUGUUCUUCAGCCCUGUGAACAGUGGCUGUAGAACAAUCUCAGGCCCUGCAGACCCACCUCCCUCGCUCCCGUGGUGGCGGUGGUGACGGGCUGGGGACGUGGGGUAGAAAAAUGGGCGGGAUGUGGGAGGCCGCGUUGCCGGGGCCCACUUCCGGAGUACGGGCGGAAGUGGCUGCGGUGGAUGGUGGGAGGGGGGAAGGAGUGCGAGGGGAGGGCCGGCCGCUGGGGGUCGAGGGGUGGGGCCUGGGCCGGCGCUGGGGAUCGGGCCUGGGACCUGGAUUGCGACCCGGGGCGGGCCGCGGCUCCUAGCCGAGACGGGGCGGGCGGGAACCAGGUUAACACAGAAAUCUGCCUCCUGGGCCAUGCCGCUUCUAAGGCCUGUUUCUUCUCAUGAGCC
rnacentral:sRNA from 1 species